UUUUUUAUGAUGAAACAAACAAAGCUGAUAACAAGUUGAUGACAGCUUAUAUCAUUUCACCAAGAUCUCUGAAAAA
rnacentral:snoRNA from 13 species